rnacentral:rRNA from 1 species
CAGCAGCCGCGGGAAUACAGAGGGUGCGAGCGUUAAUCGGAUUUACUGGGCGUAAAGCGUGCGUAGGCGGCUUCUUAAGUCGGAUGUGAAAUCCCUGAGCUUAACUUAGGAAUUGCAUUCGAUACUGGGAAGCUAGAGUAUGGGAGAGGAUGGUAGAAUUCCAGGUGUAGCGGUGAAAUGCGUAGAGAUCUGGAGGAAUACCGAUGGCGAAGGCAGCCAUCUGGCCUAAUACUGACGCUGAGGUACGGAAGCAUGGGGAGCAAACAGGAUUAGAUACCCCUGUAGUCCCUGUCUCUUAUAC